GUUCUCACUUUGGCAGCAUAUAUACUAAAAUUGGAAUGAUGUAGAGAACAUUAGCAUGACCCAGGAGAAGAGUGACACACAAAUUCGAUAAGUUUUCAAUCUUUUA
ensembl:snRNA U6 U6 spliceosomal RNA